UUUGGGCAUGAGUAUGUGCCUGUAGUCCUGGCUACUCUGAAGGCUGAGGGAGGAUCACUUGAGCCCAGGUUUUGAGCUGUUAUGUGCUGUGCUGAUCCAGUAUCUGCAUUAUAUUUGGCAUCAAUAUGGUGACUCCUGGGAGUGAAGGACCAGCAGGUUGUCUACGGAGAAGAAAAUCAGCCCAGGUCAGAAACAGAACAGGUCAAAACUGUGCUGAUCAGAGAAGGGAUCACACCUGUGAAUAGCUACAGCACUCCAGCCUGAACAGCAUACCCAAGUCAGAUCCCAUCUCU
rnacentral:SRP_RNA from 1 species